UACGGAGGGAGCUAGCGUUGUUCGGAAUUACUGGGCGUAAAGCGCACGUAGGCGGCUUUGUAAGUUAGAGGUGAAAGCCCGGGGCUCAACUCCGGAACUGCCUUUAAGACUGCAUCGCUUGAAUCCAGGAGAGGUGAGUGGAAUUCCGAGUGUAGAGGUGAAAUUCGUAGAUAUUCGGAAGAACACCAGUGGCGAAGGCGGCUCACUGGACUGGUAUUGACGCUGAGGUGCGAAAGCGUGGGGAGCGAACCGG
rnacentral:rRNA from 1 species